AGAUUGAACGCUGGCGGCAGGCCUAACACAUGCAAGUCGAGCGGCAGCACGGGUACUUGUACCUGGUGGCGAGCGGCGGACGGGUGAGUAAUGCCUAGGAAUCUGCCUGGUAGUGGGGGGAUAACGCUCGGAAACGGACGCUAAUACCGCAUACGUCCUACGGGAGAAAGCAGGGGACCUUCGGGCCUUGCGCUAUCAGAUGAGCCUAGGUCGGAUUAGCUAGUUGGUGAGGUAAUGGCUCACCAAGGCACGAUCCGUAACUGGUCUGAGAGGAUGAUCAGUCACACUGGAACUGAGACACGGUCCAGACCUCCGUACGGGAGGCAGCAGGUGGGGAAUAUUGGGACAAGUGGGACGAAGCCUGAUCCAGCCAUCGCCGCGUGUGUGAAGUAGGUCUUCGGAUUGAAAGUCUACGUUAAGUGGAAGGUAAGGCUAGUUACUAAUACGUAUCUUGUUUGACGUUAC
rnacentral:rRNA from 1 species